AAGUCGAGCGGUAACAUUUCUAGCUUGCUAGAAGAUGACGAGCGGCGGACGGGUGAGUAAUGCUUGGGAACAUGCCUUGAGGUGGGGGACAACAGUUGGAAACGACUGCUAAUACCGCAUAAUGUCUACGGACCAAAGGGGGCUUUUAGCUCCCGCCUUUAGAUUGGCCCAAGUGGGAUUAGUUAGUUGGUGAGGUAAUGGCUCACCAAGGCAACGAUCCCUAGCUGGUUUGAGAGGAUGAUCAGCCACACUGGGACUGAGACACGGCCCAGACUCCUACGGGAGGCAGCAGUGGGGAAUAUUGCACAAUGGGCGAAAGCCUGAUGCAGCCAUGCCGCGUGUGUGAAGAAGGCCUUCGGGUUGUAAAGCACUUUCAGUCAGGAGGAAAGGUUAGUAGUUAAUACCUGCUAGCUGUGACGUUACUGACAGAAGAAGCACCGGCUAACUCCGUGCCAGCAGCCGCGGUAAUACGGAGGGUGCGAGCGUUAAUCGGAAUUACUGGGCGUAAAGCGUACGCAGGCGGUUUGUUAAGCGAGAUGUGAAAGCCCCGGGCUCAACCUGGGAACUGCAUUUCGAACUGGCAAACUAGAGUGUGAUAGAGGGUGGUAGAAUUUCAGGUGUAGCGGUGAAAUGCGUANAGAUCUGAAGGAAUACCCGAUGGCGAANGCAGCCACCUGGGUCAACACUGACGCUCAUGUACNAAAGCGUGGGGAGCAAACNGGAUUAGAUACCCCCGNUAGUCCACNCCGUAAACGAUGUCUACUANAAGCUCGGUUCCUCGGAACUGUUUUUCAAGCUAACGCAUUAAGUAAACCCCNUGGGGAGUAC
rnacentral:rRNA from 1 species